rnacentral:rRNA from 1 species
UACGGGGGGGCGAGCGUUGUUCGGAAUUACUGGGCGUAAAGGGCUCGUAGGUGGCCAACUAAGUCAGACGUGAAAUCCCCAGGCUCAACUUGGGAACUGCGUCUGAUACUGGAUGGCUUGAAUUCGGGAGAGGGAUGCAGAAUUCCAGGUGUAGCGGUGAAAUGCGUAGAUAUCUGGAGGAAUACCGGUGGCGAAGGCGGCAUCCUGGACCGAGAUUGACACUGAUGAGCGAAAGCUAGGGAGCAAACGGG